rnacentral:rRNA from 1 species
ACUCCUACGGGAGGCAGCAGUGGGGAAUAUUGGACAAUGGGCGCAAGCCUGAUCCAGCCAUGCCGCGUGGGUGAAGAAGGCCUUCGGGUUGUAAAGCCCUUUUGUCCGGAAAGAAAAGCUUCGGGUUAAUACCCCGGGGUCCUGACGGUACCGGAAGAAUAAGCACCGGCUAACUUCGUGCCAGCAGCCGCGGUAAUACGAAGGGUGCAAGCGUUACU